UUUCGCAAUGCCCGAAAGGGUGACGAAGCGACGCCGCGUGAGUGAGGAAGGCCUUCGGGUUGUAAAGCUCUGUCAGGAGUUAAGAAAUAUAAGUGUGUUAAUACCACAUUUAUUUGACGAAGGCUCCAAAGGAAGCCACGGCUAACUCUGUGCCAGCAGCCGCGGUAAUACAGAGGUGGCAAGCGUUGUUCGGAAUUAUUGGGCGUAAAGAGCACGUAGGUGGGUUUGUAAGUCAGAUGUGAAAGCCUUCUGUUCAACGGAAGAAUUGCGUCUGAAACUGCGAGUCUUGAGUGUAGGAGGGGAGAAUGGAACUUCUGGUGGAGCGGUGAAAUGCGUAGAUAUCAGAAGGAACGCCGGCGGCGAAAGCGAUUCUCUGGCCUAUUACUGACACUCAGUGUGCGAAAGCUAGGGGAGCAAACGGGAUUAGAUACCCCGGUAGUCCUAGCUGUAAACGAUGGGCACUAAGUAGAGGGGUUUUA
rnacentral:rRNA from 1 species